CAUCAUUUCCCGCCUCAUCAUCCGGCACUGCUUCGAAGGGAACAAGACCCGCAUAUGGAUAAUGAACAUGGUCAAAAUAUCCAUGGAUCUCAUGAGUCAGUUGACCAACAGAGGUGGUCAAGGAAGCAAUUUGGUCGGAAAUGGAUUGGAGAGUGGGCUCUUGAGGCGGACGAGUUCGACGGGUUGGAGGAGGAACAGGCGUUGCAUGAUCACCGUCAUGAUGAAAGGAGGAUUCUGAUAUUUCUCACUUCUUGGUACUCUUUUUGAGAGGACCGUUGGAAGUGAUGAAUCCGGAGGCUUCAUGAAAAUUCAUGAUGAGGAGAGCAUAAGGAAGAGGC
rnacentral:lncRNA from 1 species